GGGGUUAUGGCUCAGUGGUAGAGUGCUUGCCUAGCACGUGUGAGGCCCUGGGUUCGAUCCUCAGAACCACA
rnacentral:tRNA from 1 species